rnacentral:rRNA from 1 species
CUACGGGGUGCAGCAGUGGGGAAUAUUGGACAAUGGGCGAAAGCCUGAUCCAGCCAUGCCGCGUGUGUGAAGAAGGCCUUCGGGUUGUAAAGCACUUUCAGUGGGGAAGAAAGCCUUGGGGCUAAUACCCUCGAGGAAGGACAUCACCCACAGAAGAAGCACCGGCUAACUCCGUGCCAGCAGCCGCGGUAAUACGGAGGGUGCGAGCGUUAAUCGGAAUUACUGGGCGUAAAGCGCGCGUAGGCGGUCUGAUAAGCCGGUUGUGAAAGCCCCGGGCUCAACCUGGGAACGGCAUCCGGAACUGUCAGGCUAGAGUGCAGGAGAGGAAGGUAGAAUUCCCGGUGUAGCGGUGAAAUGCGUAGAGAUCGGGAGGAAUACCAGUGGCGAAGGCGGUCUUCUGGACUGACACUGACGCUGAGGUGCGAAAGCGUGGGUAGCAAACAGGAUUAGAUACCCCGGUAGUC